GGGUACAUCCCCGGUCCCUUAAUUGCAUCCACAUUUCCUUCACUUGCUUCCCUUCCUCAAGUCUUAGUCCGUCCCACCCAGGAAGCAUGAGAGAGAUGCAAGGAAAUCAUGUGAGGAGAGAGGAAA